rnacentral:misc_RNA from 1 species
AAGUCGUAACAAGGUUUCCGUAGGUGAACCUGCGGAAGGAUCAUUAAAAAUACCAAAUAUUUUUAUACACCUUCAAAUUUUAUUGAUACUAUUCUUUAUUUCAUUCGAAAUAAAAAUAAAUAAUCUAAAUAUAACUUUUAACAAUGGAUCUCUUGGCUCUC